CUACGGAGGGUGCGAGCGUUAUUCGGAAUUAUUGGGCUUAAAGGGUGCGUAGGCGGCGCGGUAAGUGAGGUGUGAAAUCCCUCGGCUCAACCGAGGAACUGCGCUCCAUACUGCCGUGCUUGAGGGAGACAGGGGUAAGCGGAACUGAUGGUGGAGCGGUGAAAUGCGUUGGUAUUAUCAGGAACACCAGUGGCGAAGGCGGCUUACUGGGUCUCUUCUGACGCUGAGGCACGAAAGCUAGGGUAGCGAACGGGAUUAGAAACCCCAGUAGUCC
rnacentral:rRNA from 1 species